AACGAACGCUGGCGGCAUGCCUAACACAUGCAAGUCGAACGAGACCUUCGGGUCUAGUGGCGCACGGGUGCGUAACGCGUGGGAACCUGCCCUUAGGUUCGGAAUAACUCCCCGAAAGGGGUGCUAAUACCGGAUAAUGUCUUCGGACCAAAGAUUUAUCGCCUUUGGAUGGGCCCGCGUUGGAUUAGCUAGUUGGUAGGGUAAAAGCCUACCAAGGCGACGAUCCAUAGCUGGUCUGAGAGGAUGAUCAGCCACACUGGGACUGAGACACGGCCCAGACUCCUCCGGGAGGCAGCAGUGGGGAUAAUUGGACAUUGGGCGAAAGCCUGAUCCAGCAAUGCCGCUUGGGUGAUGAAGGCCUUAGGGUGGUAAAGCUCUUUUACCCGGGAUGAUAAUGACGGUACCGGGAGAAUAAGCUCCGGCUACCUCCUU
rnacentral:rRNA from 1 species